rnacentral:rRNA from 1 species
GGGAUAGAAUUCCAGGAGUAGCGGUGAAAUGCGUAGAUAUCUGGAGGAAUACCAAAGGCGAAGGCAGUCCCCUGGUCCGAUACUGACCCUGAGGUACGAAAGCGUGGGGGAGCAAACAGGAUUAGAUACCUGGUAGUCACGCCUAAACGAUGUCGAUUAGCCAUUGGAAGGACCCUUUUCCUUUCAGUGACGUAGCUAACGCGUUAAAUCGACCGCCUGGGAAGUACGACCGCAAGGUUAAAACUCAAAGGAAUUGACGGGGACCUGAACAAGCGGUGAAUGAUGUGGAUUAAUUCGAUGCUACGCGAAGAACCUUACCUACCUUUGACAUGGCCAAAGUUCUACCGAGAGGCGGAAGUACUCGUAAGAGGAUUGGCGCACAGGUGCUGCAUGGUUGUCGUCAGUUCGUGUCGUGAGAUGUUGGGUUCAGUCCCGCAACGAACGCAACCCUUAUCUUUAAUUGCUCCUAUUUUAACAGGCACUUUAAAGAAACUGCCAAUGAUAAGUUGGAGGAAGGUGGGGAUCACGUCAAGUCCGCAUGGCCCUUAUAGGUAGGGCUUCACACGUCAUACAAUGGUUAGAACAAAGAGCUGCAAAUUCGUAAGAAGGAGCCAAUCUCACAAACCUAACCUCAGUUCGAAUUGCGGUCUGCAACUCGAGCGCAUGAAGCCGGAAUCGCUAGUAAUCGUGGAUCAGAAUGCCACGGUGAAUACGUUCUUAGGUCUU